rnacentral:rRNA from 1 species
UGGGGAAUAUUGGACAAUGGGGGCAACCCUGAUCCAGCCAUGCCGCGUGAGUGAUGAAGGCCUUCGGGUUGUAAAGCUCUUUUGGCGGGGACGAUGAUGACGGUACCCGCAGAAUAAGCCCCGGCUAACUUCGUGCCAGCAGCCGCGGUAAGACGAAGGGGGCUAGCGUUGUUCGGAAUUACUGGGCGUAAAGCGCGUGUAGGCGGCUGUUCAAGUCGGGUGUGAAAGCCUUGAGCUCAACUCAAGAAAUGCACUCGAUACUGGAUGGCUAGAGAACCGGAGAGGAUAGUGGAAUUCCCAGUGUAGUGGUGAAAUACGUAGAGGUUGGGAAGAACACCAGUGGCGAAGGCGGCUAUCUGGACGGUUUCUGACGCUGAGACGCGAAAGCGUGGGGAGCAAACA